rnacentral:rRNA from 1 species
AGGUCACCACCAGGAGUGGAGCCUGCGGCUUAAUUUGACUCAACACGGGAAAACUCACUCGGCCCGGACACUAGCAGGAUUGGCAGAUUGAGAGCUCUUUCUUGAUUUAGUGGGUGGUGGUGCAUGGCCGUUCUUAGUUGGUGGAGCGAUUUGUCUGGUUAAUUCCGAUAACGAACGAGACUCUAGCCUACUAAAUAGGUGUUCCGAUCCCAUCAGUCGACGCUCUUCUUAGAGGGACAAGCGGCGUUUAGCCGCACGAGACAGAGCAAUAACAGGUCUGUGAUGCCCUUAGAUGUCCGGGGCCGCACGCGCGCUACACUGAAGGAACUAGCGUGUGUCCCUGUCCGGCAGGACUGGGUAAUCCGUUGAACCUCCUUCGUGAUAGGGACAGGGGCUUGUAAUUGUUCCCCUUGAACGAGGAAUUCCCAGUAAGCGUGAAUCAUCAGUUCACGUUGAUUACGUCCCUGGCCUUUGUACACACCGCCCGUCGCUACUACUGAUUGGAUGAUUUAGUGAGGU